AUGAAUGGAGGUUUCCGGGGCGAGGGGUGAGCGGAGCCGUAGUUCUGA
rnacentral:snoRNA from 1 species